rnacentral:rRNA from 1 species
CCUACGGGAGGCAGCAGUGGGGAAUAUUGGACAAUGGGGGGAACCCUGAUCCAGCCAUGCCGCGUGUGUGAAGAAGGCCCUCGGGUUGUAAAGCACUUUCAGUGAGGAAGAACGCCUGGUGGUUAAUACCCAUCAGGAAAGACAUCACUCACAGAAGAAGCACCGGCUAACUCCGUGCCAGCAGCCGCGGUAAUACGGAGGGUGCGAGCGUUAAUCGGAAUUACUGGGCGUAAAGCGCGCGUAGGUGGCUUGAUAAGCCGGUUGUGAAAGCCCCGGGCUCAACCUGGGAACGGCAUCCGGAACUGUCAAGCUAGAGUGCAGGAGAGGAAGGUAGAAUUCCCGGUGUAGCGGUGAAAUGCGUAGAGAUCGGGAGGAAUACCAGUGGCGAAGGCGGCCUUCUGGACUGACACUGACGCUGAGGUGCGAAAGCGUGGGUAGCAAACAGGAUUAGAUACCCCUGUAGUC